rnacentral:rRNA from 1 species
AUUGAACGCUGGCGGCAGGCCUAACACAUGCAAGUCGAACGAGUGGCGGACGGGUGAGUACUGUCUGGGAAACUGCCUGAUGGAGGGGGAUAACUACUGGAAACGGUAGCUAAUCCCGCAUACCAUCGGCUGUGCCCAGAUGGGAUUAGCUAGUCGGUGGGGUAAAGUCUCACCUAGGCGACGAUCCCUAGCUGGUCUGACAGGAUGACAUGCCAAACUGGAACUUAGGGACGGUCAAGACCACUACGGGAGGCAGCAGUAGGGAAUCUUGGACCAGGGGAGCAAGCCUGAGGCAGCAAGGGCGCGUGUGUGAAGAAGGCCUUAGGCUUGUAAAACAAUGUCAGAGGGGAGGCGGUACUCGCAGAAGAAGCAACGGAUAACCCCGUGCCAGCAGCCGCGGUAAUAC